UACGUAGGGGGCAAGCGUUGUCCGGAUUUAUUGGGCGUAAAGAGCGUGUAGGCGGCCAGGUAGGUCUGCUGUGAAAACUCGAGGCUUAACCUCGAGAUGUCGGCGGAAACCAUCUGGCUAGAGUCCGGAAGAGGAGAGUGGAAUUCCUGGUGUAGCGGUGAAAUGCGCAGAUAUCAGGAAGAACGCCCGUGGCGAAGGCGGCUCUCUGGGACGGUACUGACGCUGAGACGCGAAAGCGUGGGGAGCGAACAGG
rnacentral:rRNA from 1 species